rnacentral:rRNA from 1 species
GUGGGGAAUAUUGCGCAAUGGGCGAAAGCCUGACGCAGCGACGCCGCGUGAGGGAUGAAGGUUUUCGGAUCGUAAACCUCUGUCAGAAGGGAAGAAACUACAUUGUGCUAAUCAGCAGUGUACUGACGGUACCUUCAAAGGAAGCACCGGCUAACUCCGUGCCAGCAGCCGCGGUAAUACGGAGGGUGCAAGCGUUAACCGGAAUUACUGGGCGUAAAGCGCACGUAGGCUGUAGUGUAAGUCAGGGGUGCAAUCCCAUGGCUCAACCGUGGAACUGCCUUUGAUACUGCACAACUUGAAUCCGGGAGAGGGUGGCGGAAUUCCAGGUGUAGGAGUGAAAUCCGUAGAUAUCUGGAGGAACAUCAGUGGCGAAGGCGGCCACCUGGACCGGUACUGACGCUGAGGCGCGAAAGCGUGGGGAGCAAACAGGAUUAGAUACCCCAGUAGUCC